ACUCCUACGGGAGGCAGCAGUGGGGAAUAUUGCACAAUGGGCGCAAGCCUGAUGCAGCCAUGCCGCGUGUAUGAAGAAGGCCUUCGGGUUGUAAAGUACUUUCAGCAGUGAGGAAGGUGGGUAUGUUAAUAGCAUAUUCAUUUGACGUUAGCUGCAGAAGAAGCACCGGCUAACUCCGUGCCAGCAGCCGCGGUAAUACGGAGGGUGCGAGCGUUAAUCGGAAUUACUGGGCGUAAAGCGCAUGCAGGUGGUUUGUUAAGUCAGAUGUGAAAGCCCGGGGCUCAACCUCGGAAUUGCAUUUGAAACUGGCAAACUAGAGUACUGUAGAGGGGGGUAGAAUUUCAGGUGUAGCGGUGAAAUGCGUAGAGAUCUGAAGGAAUACCGGUGGCGAAGGCGGCCCCCUGGACAGAUACUGACACUCAGAUGCGAAAGCGUGGGGAGCAAACAGGAUUAGAUACCCUGGUAGGCCUAG
rnacentral:rRNA from 1 species